UUAUUGUUUACGUUUUCUCAUGCCGUGUCACAGUUUGAAGGUUUGAAGGAAUUGUUGCUGAUUUUGGACAAGAUUUAAGCCCGUAGAUUUUCUUCUCUUUAGUUUAUCUUCUCAUCAUGGAAAGCAUCGGCGUAGCAUCAGUGUUUGACCCUCAGCACAACAGUCGCUUCAUCAGAACCUUCCACGAUUACUUCAACAACCAGACUUUGGCCGAUGUGUGCUUUAUUUGUAAAGAUGGGCAAAAAGUAAGAGCUCAUCAAAUGGUUCUUGGUGCAGUCAGCAAACUUUUGAAGAAGCUUUUAUUAGAAUUUGCUGGAACCAUGGAAGAAAUUGUCAUACAUUUACCAGAUGUUCCUUCAUCAUCCUUGAAGCAAGUCUUGUAUCUUUUGUACGAAGGCAACACGCAUUUGGUCGGUGAAGAAGAAUAUAAAGAAUUCAACUCUCUUCUUAGACUUCUCGGCAUCGAACCGGAUAAUUCAAAUACUUCAUCGAGGCAAGAGCUUGGAGGCAAUAAGCAGCCACACUUAAAUCCGUCAAUGGAUGAAUCGAGAGUGAAUUCUCAAUUCUCCUCACCACAGCAUCCUGCGAAUGUUAUCGAUCAUUAUCCUAAUAUGAAUCAGUCAACACCAAGCGGUCCCCCCAUUCAACAACAAAUGCCGCUUCAAGGAAAGGUAAAUCUGCCUGGACCAAUGAUUGAUCACACACACUCAGACCCAGGCGGCAGAAUAUUCAAAUCUAAUAAAAGGAAACAAACAGAAGACCCAAAUCCAGGUGGAGCGAAAUCUCAAAAUAUCAAAACUGAACCUCCAAGCAACGAUAUUCAAAAUGCCCCUCAAAUAUCAACAUCACACACAGGCCCUCAUCCAAAGACACAUCAAAUUACAGAUAACAAAAGUUCUGUCUCCAAUAAAAUUCCGACUUGA
rnacentral:lncRNA from 1 species